rnacentral:tRNA from 1 species
CAUUAAGAAGCUAUGAACCAGCACUAGCCUUUUAAGCUAGAGAUAGAGGGUAGAACCCUCCUUAGUGA